UUUUGUUUUAUUGGUUAAUUCACAAUUUAAAUGAAAAUUUUUUUUUAUAAAAACUAUACAUUUAUAUGCCAAAUAAAAACAGAGUCGGUUAGGGAGUAUCUAAUGGUACUAAAUUUCUUUAAUUUCAAUUAUUAAGGCUAAUUUGAUUUUAUAGUUUUUAUUGCUUCAAAUCUACAAGCCUCCCUGAUAAUAGAGAAAAUUUUUAACUUACAUGCUUAAUAUUUAUUUGUCUAGCUAGUAUUUUUAGUGCCUACAGUAUGCCUAAUACCUACCUUCAAUAAUGGCAAAAAUAAAUUAAUUGUUCCAAAACACUCAAGUACUACACAAUUAUUUUUACCGAUAAAUUGACAAAACCCAAAUUUAAGCAAUAUGCAUAGUAGUGGAUGUAUAUUGAAGAAUUAUUUUGUUACUUGCAUUUUGCUUGUCUGCCAUUGUUAUACAUAGUUUCCGCACCAUCAAAGCACACUGAAAUACCUAACAGAAGACUAACUCAAAUGAAAAUUAUCUAUUAAAUAUAAUGGUCUUUAUUUGAGAGAAAAUCAACACAGAAGAGUGAGUAUUCGGUGGCUAACAUUUUAAAAACUGAACUUUAGAGUAAACAAAAGUUAAUUUACCAUUUUAAAAGCAAUAUACCCUGUAAUUGAGCAAUAUCAAUGGUUCUUAUGUUUGAAACCCCUUUUUCGAAUGGAAAUUUGUCGCCUUUUUUGAUGAAUAUAUAUAUAUAUAUACUUCAGAAAUACUAACAAAAUUUUUCUAGAUAAUAAAACAUGUAUAGAUGAGAUACCAUACCAGUGGUGUGCUGAAAUAGGUUGUUUGAAACAAUUAUCUUAUGACUAUAAUGGGUGGCUGACCAAAUAUGUUGAAUUUUGAUUGAGAUUGACUACCUAGUUCAGAGAUCAGAGAUGCCUUUAGUUUUGGUACUAUACUAUUAAUAUCCGUACUAACCAAUAAGAUAGCCUAUAAGAAGUACCUAGUCUAUACAGCUAAAUAAAGUUUUUGGCGUAAUUAUUUAUAGGACAUCCAUAAAAAUCCAUGUUUUCAUUGGGUGGGUCCUAAUUUGUUUUUUUUCUUCGAGUAUGUAUAAUGUUCAGCUCACCACUACAAUGGUUUAUUGUUGCUUACAGUUAUAAAUUAAACUUCCCAAAUUCUCACCUAUGACUAUAAAUUCUCACCUGCACUCAUUCCAAUUACCUUAAGACAUCUUUUUAAAUUUAUUUUCCCGGUGUUUUGGCAUGUAUUCUUUUUGUCAUUAAUUGUCGGAGAACGCUCCGAGGGCGGAAUUAACUAUCAAUACAUGGUAAGUGUUUUGGAAGACCCUGGGUUUUUAUCAAUUUCUCUUAAAAUAUUUCUAAUGUAAUUUUCGUAAAUAAAUAUUAUAUUAUAUCGU